AGUGAACGCUGGCGGUAGGCCUAACACAUGCAAGUCGAACGGCAGCACAGUAAGAGCUUGCUCUUACGGGUGGCGAGUGGCGGACGGGUGAGGAAUACAUCGGAAUCUACUUUUUCGUGGGGGAUAACGUAGGGAAACUUACGCUAAUACCGCAUACGACCUACGGGUGAAAGCAGGGGAUCUUCGGACCUUGCGCGAUUGAAUGAGCCGAUGUCGGAUUAGCUAGUUGGCGGGGUAAAGGCCCACCAAGGCGACGAUCCGUAGCUGGUCUGAGAGGAUGAUCAGCCACACUGGAACUGAGACACGGCCCAGACCCCUACGGGAGGCAGCAGUGGGGAAUAUUGGACAAUGGGCGCAAGCCUGAUCCAGACAUCCCGCGUGGGGGAAGAAGGCCUUCGGGUUUUAAAGCCCUUUUGUUGGGAAAGAAAAGCAGCAGGUUAAUACCCCGCUGUUCUGACGGUACCCAAAGAAUAAGCACCGGCUAACUUCGUG
rnacentral:rRNA from 1 species